rnacentral:rRNA from 1 species
GAUGAACGCUGGCGGCGUGCCUAACACAUGCAAGUCGAGCGAACGGACGCUAAUCUUGCUUCUCUGAUGUUAGCGGCGGACGGGUGAGUCACACGUGUAUAACCCCCCUAUCAUACUGGGAUAACUUCGGGAAACCGGCUCUAAUACCGUAUGAUAUUUUGAACCGCAUUGUUCAAAAGUGAAAUACGGUCUUGCUGUCUCUUAUCGCUGGAUCCGCGCUGCAUUAGCUAGUUGGUAAGUUAACGGCCUACCACGGCGACGAUGCAUAGCCGACCUGAGAGGGGGGUAGGCGACACGGGAGGUGAGACGCGGUCCAGACGACUACGGGAGGCAGCAGUAGGGAAUGUUACGCAAUGGGGGAGAGCAUGACGGAGCAAGGCGGCGUGAGUGACGAAGGUGUUCGGAUCGUAAAGAUGGGUUAUGAGGGGAGAACAGAUGUGGAAGUAAAUGUGCAGAGAGUGACGGUAACUGAUCAGAAAGCAACGGCUAACUACGUG